UAGUCAGAUGCCAUUCUUGGAUUGCUCGCCGUAAGUUAGUGCGCGUAUGCGGUGUUGCCCUUAAAAGUACGCGGAUGUCGGGGGCUAGAAGAACGAAAGAACAACCUUCUAUACUUCCACUUCAUGUUGUAGAUGGGGCACUUGAAGCGGCAGUUAACAGGCAGCCCCAGCUUCUCACUUCAGUACUCCAGAGUUUGCAAAUUUGUUGGGAGGGACAAGGUGGAUGGCAUUGUUUUCUAUUCCUGUGAACUCAAGAAGUGAAGAUCCGCCUUUGAGCUGAGGUUGUAAUGCCAGUCUGCAGACCAUGGAGAGUUCAUCCACACAGCUUGCAUCUAUGAAACGCCUUCAUGUCUUCUGGAAGUAUGAGCCAAGUUCCUUCUCUGGAGCCUGGAGGGACCAAUGAAUUCAAAGCAGAUUAAUUGAUGGGAAGAUGAAUGCACAGCUCAAUGAUUUAAUGGAGAGAUGUGACCUAAAUGUACUAAUUGUACCAGUUUAAAGACGUAUACACUACACUGAAUGAAGCCAUGAAGCACACUCAAGAU